AAUAGAUACCCGGGUAGUCCACGCCGUAAACGAUGAAUGCCAGCCGUUAGUGGGUUUACUCACUAGUGGCGCAGCUAACGCUUUAAGCAUUCCGCCUGGGGAGUACGGUCGCAAGAUUAAAACUCAAAGGAAUUGACGGGGGGCCCGCACAAGCGGUGGAGCAUGUGGUUUAAUUCGACGCAACGCGCAGAACCUUACCAGCCCUUGACAUGUCCAGGACCGGUCGCAGAGAUGUGACCCUCUCUUCGGAGCCUGGAACACAGGUGCUGCAUGGCUGUCGUCAGCUCGUGUCGUGAGAUGUUGGGUUAAGUCCCGCAACGAGCGCAACCCCCGUCCUUAGUUGCUACCAUUUAGUUGAGCACUCUAAGGAGACUGCCGGUGAUAAGCCGCGAGGAAGGUGGGGAUGACGUCAAGUCCUCAUGGCCCUUACGGGCUGGGCUACACACGUGCUACAAUGGCGGUGACAAUGGGAUGCUAAGGGGCGACCCUUCGCAAAUCUCAAAAACGCCGUCUCAGUUCGGAUUGGGCU
rnacentral:rRNA from 1 species